GACGAACGCUGGCGGCGUGCUUAACACAUGCAAGUCGAACGGAAAGGCCCUGCUUUUGUGGGGUGCUCGAGUGGCGAACGGGUGAGUAACACGUGAGUAACCUGCCCUUGACUUUGGGAUAACUUCAGGAAACUGGGGCUAAUACCGGAUAGGAGCUCCUGCUGCAUGGUGUGGGUUGGAAAGUUUCGGCGGUUGGGGAUGGACUCGCGGCUUAUCAGCUUGUUGGUGGGGUAGUGGCUUACCAAGGCUUUGACGGGUAGCCGGCCUGAGAGGGUGACCGGCCACAUUGGUAAUGAGAUACGGCCCAGACUCCUACGGGAGGCAGCAGUGGGGAAUAUUGCACAAUGGGCGGAAGCCUGAUGCAGCAACGCCGCGUGCGGGAUGACGGCCUUCGGGUUGUAAACCGCUUUCGCCUGUGACGAAGCGUGAGUGACGGUAAUGGGUAAAGAAGCACCGGCUAACUACGUG
rnacentral:rRNA from 1 species